rnacentral:rRNA from 1 species
CCUACGGGGGGCAGCAGUGGGGAAUAUUGGACAAUGGGCGAAAGCCUGAUCCAGCCAUGCCGCGUGUGUGAAGAAGGCCUUCGGGUUGUAAAGCACUUUCAGUGGGGAAGAAAGCCUUGGGGCUAAUACCCUCGAGGAAGGACAUCACCCACAGAAGAAGCACCGGCUAACUCCGUGCCAGCAGCCGCGGUAAUACGGAGGGUGCGAGCGUUAAUCGGAAUUACUGGGCGUAAAGCGCGCGUAGGCGGUCUGAUAAGCCGGUUGUGAAAGCCCCGGGCUCAACCUGGGAACGGCAUCCGGAACUGUCAGGCUAGAGUGCAGGAGAGGAAGGUAGAAUUCCCGGUGUAGCGGUGAAAUGCGUAGAGAUCGGGAGGAAUACCAGUGGCGAAGGCGGCCUUCUGGACUGACACUGACGCUGAGGUGCGAAAGCGUGGGUAGCAAACAGGAUUAGAUCCCCUGGUAGUC